UGGGGAAUUUUGGACAAUGGGCGAAAGCCUGAUCCAGCAAUGCCGCGUGUGUGAAGAAGGCCUUCGGGUUGUAAAGCACUUUUGUCCGGAAAGAAAUCCUUGGCUCUAAUACAGUCGGGGGAUGACGGUACCGGAAGAAUAAGCACCGGCUAACUACGUGCCAGCAGCCGCGGUAACACGUAGGGUGCAAGCGUUAAUCGGAAUUACUGGGCGUAAAGCGUGCGCAGGCGGUUUGCUAAGACCGAUGUGAAAUCCCCGGGCUCAACCUGGGAACUGCAUUGGUGACUGGCAGGCUAGAGUAUGGCAGAGGGGGGUAGAAUUCCACGUGUAGCAGUGAAAUGCGUAGAGAUGUGGAGGAAUACCGAUGGCGAAGGCAGCCCCCUGGGCCAAUACUGACGCUCAUGCACGAAAGCGUGGGGAGCAAACAGGAUUAGAUACCCUGGUAGUCCACGCCCUAAACGAUGUCAACUAGUUGUGGGGAUUCAUUUCCUUAGUAACGUAGCUAACGCGUGAAGUUGACCGCCUGGGGAGUACGGUCGCAAGAUUAAAACUCAAAGGAAUUGACGGGGUCCAUA
rnacentral:rRNA from 1 species